GCAAAACAACUAGCUUAAUUAUUAACACUAAUCAAACAACAUAAAUAAAAAAUUUUAGCCUAAAACAAUAAAUUAAACCAUUUUUCACCUUAGUAUGGGAGACAGAAAAGGACCACUUUAAAGCAAUAGAAAAAGUACCGCAAGGGAAAGUUGAAAGAGAAAUGAAAUAACCCAUAUAAGCAAAAAAAAACAAAGACUAAAUCUUGUACCUUUUGCAUCAUGAUUUAGCAAGUACAAUCAAGCAAAGAGACCUUUAGUUUGAAACCCCGAAACCAAGUGAGCUACCCCGAGACAGCCUAUAUAAAUUAGGGCCAACCCGUCUCUGUGGCAAAAGAGUGGGAAGAGCUCCGGGUAGAAGUGACAGACCUAUCGAACUUGGUGAUAGCUGGUUGCCUAGGAAAUGAAUAUAAGUUCAGCCUCGUAAGACCUAAAUCAAAAUAAAUCAUAUAAGAUAACUUAAGGAAAAGCACGAGAGUUAGUUUAAGGAGGUUCAGCCCCUUAAACAAAGGACACAACCUUAAAAGGAGAAUAAAGAUCAUAUUACACAAAAUAUUUUGUCUUAGUGGGCCUAAAAGCAGCCACCUAAACAGAAAGCGUUAAAGCUCAGACAAACAAGAAUUUAUUAUCCCGAUAAAUUAUCUUACUUCCCCAAAAAUACUAGGCUAUUCCAUGCACCCAUGGAAGAAAUUAUGCUAAAAUGAGUAACAAGAAGAACUAAUCUUCUCCUGGCACAAGUGUAAGUCAGAUCGGACCUACCACUGAUAAAUAACGAACCCAAACAAAGAGGGCAAUAUGAACAACUUAGUAACCAAGAAAAUCUCAUAACCCAAAAUCGUUAACCCCACACUGGAGUGCACCAAAGGAAAGACUAAAAGAUAAGGAAGGAACUCGGCAAACCCAAGCCUCGCCUGUUUACCAAAAACAUCGCCUCUUGAACUAUUAAAAUAUAAGAGGUCCAGCCUGCCCAGUGACUACAAGUUCAACGGCCGCGGUAUUUUAACCGUGCAAAGGUAGCGCAAUCACUAGUCCUUUAAAUGGGGACCUGUAUGAAUGGUUAGACGAGGGCUUAACUGUCUCCCUUAUCCGGUCAGUGAAAUUGAUCUAUCCGUGCAGAAGCGGGUAUAAUUAUACAAGACGAGAAGACCCUUUGGAGCUUAAGGUACAAAACUCACCCAUAUUAAGCAAGCCCUUAAAAUAUAUAAAUAUAAUGACUAAUGAGAAUUUACCUUCGGUUGGGGCGACCACGGAGCAAAAAACAGCCUCCGAGUGGAUUGGAUAAAUUCCAAAACCAAGAAAGACACCUCUAAGUAACAGAACAUCUGACCAAAUAUGACCCGGCCCAAAGCCGAUUAACGAACCAAGUUACCCAAGGGAUAACAGCGCAAUCCUCUUCCAGAGUCCAUAUCGACGAGAGGGUUUACGACCUCGAUGUUGGAUCAGGACAUCCUAAUGGUGCAGCCGCUAUUAAGGGUUCGUUUGUUCAACGAUUAAAGUCCUACGUGAUCUGAGUUCAGACCGGAGUAAUCCAGGUCAGUUUCUAUCUGUAAUGCUAGUUUUUCCCAGUACGAAAGGAUCGGAAAAAGGGGGCCCAAUCCAAAAGCACGCCCCACCCCAAAUUAAUGAAUUUAAAUAAAUUAAAUAAAGGGAGAGCAUAAUUCACCUCCUAAUCAAGGAGUUGUUAGGGCACAAAACUUAAUAGCACAUGCUUGUAGACCUUAAAAGAGGUUUAAACCCCCUCCCUAACACACCUGACAAAUCCUCAGAAUUGUCAGACAUUAGAAUCCGGCAACCAAAAAAGACCCGGGCCUUAAAAAUAAUACCAGGACUUGUAAAAUGGUGAAGUAGGUAAUUAAAAAAUACCGAACCCCAAAAACAAGCCCUAAAACUUUUUAGGUGUGGCAGCGCCCGGUAAACAUAAAAGACCCAGAAACCCCAAGAAAUAUCACCCAAAGCCU
rnacentral:rRNA from 1 species